CAGCAGUGAGGAAUAUUGGUCAAUGGGCGAGAGCCUGAACCAGCCAAGUCGCGUGAGGGAGUACUGCCCUAUGGGUUGUAAACCUCUUUUGUCGGGGAGCAAAAGCCGGACGUGUCCGGCUGUGAGAGUACCCGAAGAAAAAGCAUCGGCUAACUCCGUGCCAGCAGCCGCGGUAAUACGGAGGAUGCGAGCGUUAUCCGGAUUUAUUGGGUUUAAAGGGUGCGCAGGCGGAUUUUUAAGUCAGCGGUCAAAUCGUGGGGCUCAACCCCAUCCAGCCGUUGAAACUGGGGAUCUAGAGUGUGCGAGAGGUAUGCGGAAUGCGUGGUGUAGCGGUGAAAUGCAUAGAUAUCACGCAGAACCCCGAUUGCGAAGGCAGCAUACCGGUGCACAACUGACGCUCAGGCACGAAAGCGUGGGUAUCGAACAGGAUUAGA
rnacentral:rRNA from 1 species